rnacentral:hammerhead_ribozyme from 1 species
GCACAGCUGAGGAGUCCCAUACCAGGACGAAACGGCCGUCCAGUGC